UGACCCUCAAUAUUCCCCAACUCCCAUUGCGUUGCCGUUGGUAGCCUAGGGUUCGAGCGCCGCGGCCUUGCGCUGCUGCCGCCUGCUUGCUGCUGCUGCUGUUCACCGCUGCUGCCGCCGUUGCACGUGGCCGCUGCCUUCCGCUGCCGCUGACCCUGCUUUGUGCCGCUGCCGCUGCCGCUGCCGCUGCCGCUGCCGCUGCUGCUCGCUGCUUCUCCCGCCGCCGGGCAUUGUUGCUGCUCCGUCAUCGUGCAAUCUCGCUGGAGCUCUGUCGCAAAUCCCUGCUUCUAUCAGUCAUGCCCCAAGUUUUGCAGCCUCUGCUGCGAGGAGAUGGAUGCCCCAUUAGGUGCAGAGCAAGGAGGACAGAAGAGAUCAAGGAGGGGAGAAGGGGCGGUUCCUGCCCUGUGGUGCUGCAGUGAGAGAACCUGGAACCAGAGGAGAAGAGAAAAUAUGGAAAAAAAAAGGACAACCUAUAGAUUCAGAAGAAAUCCACCAAAUUGGAGAUACAUUUUCGAGACGCAAUUCAAAGGUUUGACAUGUUCAGAAGAUGUGACAUAACUAUUGCCGUUCGCUGGAUUCCAGGCAAGUACAUGAUGAGCCUCCUGUGAAGUUGUGUGCCAACAUUUAUUGGUUAUCCGAGUUGCUGUUUGAUUUCUUUGGUGUUUGUGCUAUCGGAAGGUUUUGUUUUAAGCCAGGUCGGUGAGUAAGUUACAGGCAACUAUUCCGGUGCGGUCGGUGAGUUAAGUUAUUAUGUAACUAUUCCGGUGAGCUGAGCAAGGUCGGUGAGAAAUUCACGUGUUUAACUAUUCCGGUGUGGUCGGUGAGAAAGUUAACGGUGAAUAUUCCGGAAUGCUCCCAUCGUAAAGUACAGAGUUUAUAAAAGAGUUUCAUGGCUUUUAUUUGGACCGUGCCUUCGUGAGAUGUAUGCUGUUAUUUUUUCUCCAUAUUGUACUUUGCUGGGUAACAAUUACUCACUCUUGCUCUCUUGUUGUUUUAUUUGGUUUUCCAGGUACUUCCAAAAAAGGCAUGCAUGGGUGGGAGUAGGAUCACUAUACAUGGACAACACACACACACACACUAUAAUUUAAAUUCUUAGUUUCACCCUUUAUGCUUUACUAGAGAGAUAGAUAGUCAGUGUUGAGAACCCCUUUCUUAUACAACUGUCAGAUGAAGGCUUUAGUUGUUCCACACCUAUUGUUUAUUUGACUUGGAGUCUAUUGGAUUAUUAUGAACUGUGUGUAUGUCUUCCUACCCUAUUGAUAAUAUUUGAGAGACCUUAAUAA